rnacentral:sRNA from 1 species
GAAAUUACGAUAUGUGAAGUUCUUUGACCUGU